AGAUGGGUGGCUGGGCAAGAAG
rnacentral:miRNA from 1 species